AGCAAACAGUAGUGAACGCAACCAAAACUGAAUUUAAGAAAUUAAACUUAACGGGGAUAAAUUACUUCAUUUUAAUCAAGGUGAGCAAAUAGCUGUUAACAUACAUUCACUUAUUUGAGACUCACUACCACAAGCAAUAUCAGAUAAAGAUGGAUCUCAACUCACUUUAACAAAACAGAUACAGUAAACAAAUUAGAACAAAUUGAAGUCAUCAACGAGCAAAUCAGGAACAUAUAUUCCAACGGCUCAAUAAUUUCAGCAUUUCGAAUCGAUAGUCAUACCUGACACAAAACUAAAAUCGAAGAGAAAACUAGAGCAACCAGAUCUCGAACGGAAACCUCAACGAGAUUGAACGGACUCAAAUCCAGACCUCAAAACUCGAAACAGACAGUCGAAAUCAACUUCAACAAUCCGAAUCUCAAACCAUUUGGUAGUGAGUAGAAACAGAAUUUCUUAUGAUACCGUUUAUACACGAAAAUUAAAACCGAAAAUCCGAAGAAGAAAUCAUCUAAUCUUCUCCUUUUUUUCAUUUUCACUAUGUUUUCCGAGCUGAAAUUACAUAUCCUCGUAUGUAUGUGUGGUGCAUUCAGAAACAUAAAAGAAGCAAAAUCAAAUGAGGGCUUCUGAGUUGUAUCACGUUGUAGAAGAAGCUCCAAACACUAAGGUGGUGUGAGCUCGAGGUCAGGAUUUCAAGGGGUUCUUUCGUUGCGGAGGUUGCUGCUUGGGAGCUUCAAUGGAGUCUAAGGCUUUACUUUGGUUCUUCCAUCAAGAAGAUGAAAUUUUGCCCUCCUCAAAAGCUGCGGAUCCCUCCCCGUUAUAUUUUUCAGUUGGGUCUCUUAAAUAAAGAGAAGAUCGCCGAGGAAGGGGGUAGAA
rnacentral:lncRNA from 1 species